rnacentral:rRNA from 1 species
UACCAGCACCCCGAGUGGUCGGGACGAUUAUUGGGCCUAAAGCAUCCGUAGCCGGUUUUACAAGUCCUCCGUUAAAUCCAACUGCUUAACAGAUGGGCCGCGGAGGAUACUAUAAGACUAGGAGGCAGGAGAGGCAAGCGGUACUCAGUGGGUAGGGGUAAAAUCCGUUGAUCCAUUGAAGACCACCAGUGGCGAAGGCGGCUUGCCAGAAUGCGCUCGACGGUGAGGGAUGAAAGCUGGGGGGAGCAAACCGG